UUUCAGCUAAAUGAAGUGUGUAAAUUCUGUCUAUGAAUCUGAAAAGUUUUUCAGAUGCUUCAGAUGGUUGAUUUCAGAGUCUUUGGAAAAGCUGUCUAUUCUGUCACCUGGAUUUGCCUCGGCUUAUUUAGUAGGAAAGAAUGUGAUGUCCUAAUACGUUUUCAUAUAGGUGAAUUCCUUCCUGGGAUGCUGAAGGUUCUCUUAUAUGCUCUGGGUCUGCUACAUUUGAAUUUUGGUAGCACCUAAGGGCCACAAUCAGGUCAGGGAUCAUGGUGCUAGUACAUAAUAAAUAAGACACUCUACAAAGAACUUUCAGACUAUAUCAGCGAGAGGCAACCUAAGCUAGUGAGUGGGCUGCAUGAGUGGCUCUCCUCCAUCUCAGUGGCCCACAAGAUUGUCGUAACCCAAGAGGCUCUCCCAGGAUAGGGUAGUGUUGCUAACUGUGCUGGUGUACCUAGAACUUGCAGGGUGUGCCAGCAGAACCAUAGCAGCACUUUGAUUGAUUGCAGAGGGAGCACCCAGCUCUCACAAUGUUAUGUGGAAUCAGCACAUACCUCACUUCACAUGCUUUUGCUUUUACGUGCCUGUCACUUUAGUAACAACCAGUAGGGGAAAAAAACCCAAAACCAUACACAGAUGCAAACCAGUAUAUCUGGCAACCCUGCUAUCUCAUGGACCACACAUAGAAUCCCAAUGGGCUGCAUGUGGCCUCAGGCCACAGGUUACCCAUUACUGGUCUAAACAAUGCUGUCUUCCCAAUUGUUUCUGUUAGGGGAUUAUUUUUCAGGGUAAUUCUUUCUUUCCUUUGUUUCUGCUUUCUCUCUUCACCGCAGCCCAUCUUUGGCGCAAUUAUGGGGAUGGCUCCUGCAUUCCUUUGCUUACCCAAAACUACCACUGAAAUCAAUGGGAAUUUCAGAUGUACAAGGAAUACAGGCUUGCUCCCAUGGUGUGGCGCUCAACUGGUGUAAAUCAGUGUAGCUCCAUUGAAAUAGGUGGAGCUACCUGAUUUACAGCAAUUGAGGUUCUGGCUGAGCGUCUUUUUCACAUUGCCAAGAGAGUUUUCAUUGUUUAUUUCACUCUCAGCCAUUUCACCCUCUUGUUCGUGCUAGGUUUCUGUGGAAAUCUGUUGCUGUGAAAUAUUUCCUUUAGGGUAGGUGCUUAGGAACUGAAAUACACAGCAUCAUCAUAAUCCUGCUGCUUGUUACUUUUCCUUCAGGAUUUCUUUUUGCAUUAUCUGAGGUGCGUGCCUCUGGCUCACUGUUUUUACUAAUAUUUCUCUUCCGUUACCCUUGGCCCCGUAUAGUCGCUUCAAAACUUUGAUGUAGCGCACGGUUUCUCACAAAGGGAAUGGAACUUGCAGCCUUGCACAGGCAAAGUUCAUUGGCAUUUGCCUUGUUUCUAAAACUAACCUGCCAAAUGUUUUCAGGAACUGAAUUGUCUUGUGGCUGCUUUGCACCCAUUAUUUUUCCUUUAAUGCAGGCAAAGCCUGCCUUGUGCAGUUCGUAGCAAGAUCCCCCUGACUGGCCUUUGUUAUAAGUUGUUGCUCUUGGCAUUUCUUAAAGCAUGGUUUCAAAUUGUUUUGCCAAACACAGAAUGUGUGUACCUUUUUACAUUAAUAAAACAGAGGACUUGGGAAUGAUGCACUGGUAUAACCUAAGGUAUAAAUUUAAACCAAUAGAUUUAAAUUGAGUCAAACCUCUGUGUAGACACACUCAGUUUGGUAGGGGAGUAGCUUAAAUUGAGUGAGGAAGUACUUUAAACCAAAGUAAGUCGAAACUAAAAUAAGAGUAUCCACAUGUAUUUGCAAUGGUUUAACUAUAUACAAGGCUGCAAGCUCCGGUAUCUUGGUUUAAUAACCAAUUACAUUAAAUCCUUUUCAACUUUCCCAUUAGACAAAGUCAGAGGAAAAAGUUGGCACAGAGGUUAAGGAAUUGGUCUGAGACUUGAGAGAGGACUCUAUCACGGUCUCUUCCACAGAUUUUCUGUGUGACAUUGGGCAUGCCACUUAAUGUUUCUGUGCUUCUGUUCCCCUUCUGUAAAAUGGGGAUAGUAACAUUCCAUUAUCCCAUCUGUCUAUUUAGAGUGUUAGCUCUUCAGGACUGGACUUUUUUUUUCUAUUUGUUCAUAUAGUGCCUAGCAAACACUUUGUAUUAUGGCCUUUUGGUGGUAACUGCAAUACACAUGAAUAAGAGGUUGUGUUCAUCUGGAUUUUGUGUUGAAUUCUUAACAUUUUACCUUUAGUUGUUCUGAUUUUCAAAGGUGUUCAGCACUUGUGUUUCCUGUUAUAAACUAGGGGAGAGGCGUGCGCUCAGCAUCCCUGCAACAGACUGCUUAUGCUUAAUUAUAUUAUCCCCUCCAGCCCUUAAUUGAGAAUAUAAAACACUGCUAGGCAAACAAUUAUUAUUUUGUGAAACACAACUCUUUGGAACUCAUGCUUUUUAUAGUCAUCAAAUGUAAAGGUGAGAGCUUUCUAUUAGGUGACAUUGAAUAAGUGAUUGCUGGAGAGUAGUCAUGCUUUUUUGGUAGAUAUGUAACAUUUUAGGUUUUUUGUGCAGAAUGAGUCAGUUUUAAUUUAGUAAUAAAAAAGGCUAGGGAUACAGAAAGGCACGUAUGAAUUGUUUCUCUAUAUUUCAGAUUAUUAUUGAGGAAAACCCUUGUUCUGUCCAUUAGGUGGUGCCCACUAUGCAUUCUUGCAUUUGUGGAGGAAAGAAAGAUUCUAGAGACAUAGAAGCAAACAAAAAUCCAUCCUUGUUAACACUAGGAGAGAAGAAUAAAGCCAUUUCUUUGACCUAUAGGUUCCAGAAGUACUUUGCAUACAUUCUACCUACAGCAACUCUGAUACGCAAUUAUAGACUGUAAUAGAAGUAGAUUUCGAAGAUACUUAACAGACCCAUGUGUCACUCAGAUGGCCGCUUCAACACAAGAUAGAAGCUCAAAAGAAGGGGACCUGUGUUUCUGGAAUCCAGCAACUCUGACAUCUUGUACAGCCUGGUAAUCGAUUUCCGUGUAUGUGAAAACGAUCAGCUUGCUGUUUCUGUGCGGAACUCC